rnacentral:rRNA from 1 species
GUGAGGAAUAUUGCGCAAUGGAGGCAACUCUGACGCAGCCAUGCCGCGUGCAGGAAGAAGGCGCUACGCGUUGUAAACUGCUUUUAACCGGGAAGAAACCCCAGGACGUGUCCUGGGUUGACGGUACCGGAGGAAUAAGCACCGGCUAACUUCGUGCCAGCAGCCGCGGUAAUACGAAGGGGGCAAGCGUUAUCCGGAUUCAUUGGGUUUAAAGGGUGCGUAGGCGGAGCGUUAAGUCAGUGGUGAAAUCCUGCAGCUUAACUGUAGACUUGCCAUUGAUACUGGCGCUCUUGAGUGCGCUUGAAGUGGGCGGAAUGUGCCGUGUAGCGGUGAAAUGCUUAGAUAUGGCACAGAACACCAAUUGCGAAGGCAGCUCACUAAGGCGAUACUGACGCUGAGGCACGAAAGCGUGGGGAUCGAACAGGAUUAGAAACCCGAGUAGUCC